rnacentral:lncRNA from 1 species
AGUCAGAAAACAACUAAAAACCAAAGCAAUCUCUAGUCAAAAUACACUGCGUCUGAACGUCAACCAGUCCAUGUCAUAGCCUCCAAAUAAAUAGAAUGCAGGUUUCUUUCAGAAUCCUCUCACUAUUAGAUAUUGAGCUCCACAUCCGCACAAGUAAAUGUGCAGAUUAAGGGAAAUGUUUAAGAAAGCGAAAAUGAAAGAGAUUAAAGGCCAUAAG